AGACUAACCAUGCAAGUCGAGGGGUAGGGGGUGCUUGCACCCCUGAGACCGGCGCACGGGUGCGGAACGCGUAUGGAACCUGCCCCUGUCAGGGGAAUAGCCCAGGGAAACUUGGAUUAAUGCCCCAUGGUAUCAUUACAUCGCAUGAUGUUGUGAUUAAAGAUUUAUCGGACAGGGAUGGCCAUGCGUACCAUUAGCUUGAUGGUGGGGUAACGGCCCACCAUGGCAACGAUGGUUAGGGGCCCUGAGAGGGGGAUCCCCCACACUGGUACUGAGACACGGACCAGACUCCUACGGGAGGCAGCAGUGAGGAAUAUUGGACAAUGGUCGGAAGACUGAUCCAGCCAUGCCGCGUGCAGGAUGACGGCCCUAUGGGUUGUAAACUGCUUUUAUACGGGAAGAAACCCACCUACGUGUAGGUGGCUGACGGUACCGUAAGAAUAAGGACCGGCUAACUCCGUGCCAGCAGCCGCGGUAAUACGGAGGGUCCGAGCGUUAUCCGGAAUCAUUGGGUUUAAAGGGUCCGUAGGCGGGCCUGUAAGUCAGGGGUGAAAGUUUGUGGCUCAACCAUAAAAUUGCCUUUGAUACUGCAGGUCUUGAGUCAUGGUGGGGUUGCCGGAACAUGUGGUGUAGCGGUGAAAUGCAUAGAUAUCACAUAGAACACCGAUCGCGAAGGCAGGUGACCAACCAUGUACUGACGCUGAUGGACG
rnacentral:rRNA from 1 species